GAUGAACGCUGGCGGCGUGCCUAAUACAUGCAAGUCGAGCGAACAGACGAGGAGCUUGCUCCUCUGACGUUAGCGGCGGACGGGUGAGUAACACGUGGAUAACCUACCUAUAAGACUGGGAUAACUUCGGGAAACCGGAGCUAAUACCGGAUAAUAUAUUGAACCGCAUGGUUCAAUAGUGAAAGACGGUUUUGCUGUCACUUAUAGAUGGAUCCGCGCCGCAUUAGCCAGUUGGGAAGGUAACGGCUUACCAAGGCGACGAUGCGUAGCCGACCUGAGAGGGUGAUCGGCCACACUGGAACUGAGACACGGUCCAGACUCCUACGGGAGGCAGCAGUAGGGAAUCUUCCGCAAUGGGCGAAAGCCUGACGGAGCAACGCCGCGUGAGUGAUGAAGGUCUUCGGAUCGUAAAACUCUGUUAUUAGGGAAGAACAAAUGUGUAAGUAACUAUGCACGUCUUGACGGUACCUAAUCAGAAAGCCACGGCUAACUACGUG
rnacentral:rRNA from 1 species